AUUGAACGCUGGCGGCAGGCCUAACACAUGCAAGUCGAACGAGUGGCGGACGGGUGAGUCAUGUCUGGGACACUGCCUGAUGGAGGGGGAUAACUACUGGAAACGGUAGCUAAUACCGCAUACCAUCAGAUGUGCCCAGAUGGGGUGAGCUAGUAGGUGGGGUAAAGGCUCACCUAGGCGACGAUCCCUAGCUGGUCUGUGAGGCUGACCAGCCACACUGGAACUGAGACACGGUCCAGACUCCUACGGGAGGCAGCAGUGGGGAAUAUUGCACAAUGGGCGCAAGCCUGAUGCAGCCAUGCCGCGUGUGUGAAGAAGGCCUUCGGGUUGUAAAGCACUUUCAGCGAGGAGGCGUUACUCGCAGAAGAAGCACCGGCUAACUCCGUGCCAGCAGCCGCGGUAAUAC
rnacentral:rRNA from 1 species